rnacentral:rRNA from 1 species
GGCCUACACAUGCAAGUCGAGCGGAAACGACAACAUUGACCCUUCGGGUGAUUUGUUGGGCGUCGAGCGGCGGACGGGUGAGUAAUGCCUGGGAAAUUGCCCUGAUGUGGGGGAUAACCAUUGGAAACGAUGGCUAAUACCGCAUAACGUCUACGGACCAAAGAGGGGGACCUUCGGGCCUCUCGCUUCAGGAUAUGCCCAGGUGGGAUUAGCUAGUUGGUGAGGUAAUGGCUCACCAAGGCGACGAUCCCUAGCUGGUCUGAGAGGAUGAUCAGCCACACUGGAACUGAGACACGGUCCAGACUCCUACGGGAGGCAGCAGUGGGGAAUAUUGCACAAUGGGCGCAAGCCUGAUGCAGCCAUGCCGCGUGUAUGAAGAAGGCCUUCGGGUUGUAAAGUACUUUCAGUCGUGAGGAAGGCAUUAACGUUAAUAGCGUUAGUGUUUGACGUUAGCGACAGAAGAAGCACCGGCUAACUCCGUGCCAGCAGCCGCGGUAAUACGGAGGGUGCGAGCGUUAAUCGGAAUUACUGGGCGUAAAGCGCAUGCAGGUGGUUUGUUAAGUCAGAUGUGAAAGCCCGGGGCUCAACCUCGGAACCGCAUUUGAAACUGGCAGGCUAGAGUACUGUAGAGGGGGGUAGAAUUUCAGUGUAGCGGUGAAAUGCGUAGAGAUCUGAAGGAAUACCAGUGGCGAAGGCGGCCCCCUGGACAGAUACUGACACUCAGAUGCGAAAGCGUGGGGAGCAAACAGGAUUAGAUACCCUGGUAGUCCACGCCGUAACGAUGUCUACUUGGAGGUUGUGGCCUUGAGCCGUGGCUUUCGGAGCUAACGCGUUAAGUAGACCGCCUGGGGAGUACGGUCGCAGAUUAAACUCAAUGAAUUGACUGGGGCCCGCACAGCG